rnacentral:rRNA from 1 species
UACGAAGGGUGCAAGCGUUGCUCGGAGUUAUUGGGCGUAAAGGGUAGGUAGGUGGUGACAUUUGUCUGGGGUGAAAUCCCUGAGCUUAACUCAGGAAGUGCCUUGGAAACGGUGUCACUAGAGUGCUGGAGAGGUUCGCAGAAUUCUUGGUGUAGCGGUGAAAUGCGUAGAGAUCAAGAGGAAUACCAGAGGCGAAGGCGGCGAACUGGACAGUUACUGACACUGAACUACGAAAGCGUGGGGAGCAAACAGG